CAUUCUUGGGUCAUGUAGUAUCGAGUGAAGGGAUCAAGUUGAUCCGAAGAAAUUGGAAGCAGUGCAGAGUUGGCCCACACUACAACACAAAGGGGCUUUGGCGGCAAUAACAAUAGCCGCUAUAUCAUUUACCGGUAAUUAGUAUUUUGCCGCUGAAGCGGGGGUCGGCAAAGCCUUUAGCGGCUUUUCUCACAAAAGCUGGUAAAGGGUAUGAUUUAUUGCCGCUAAAAAUUAUUAUCAUUAAUGGCAAUUGUUUGCGGCAAUUACAAUGGCUACUAAAUUCAAACCAAAACGGCUAAUUAUACUUCUUUAGCAUCCAUUUAUAUAGUCGCUAAAUUCAAAAUAAUUGCCGCUAAAAAUUUGCAUCUUUAACGGCAAUUAUUUUGUAGCAAUUAAUAUGGCCAUAGUAUCCCUUUUGAAAACAUCUUAGUUUGCCUUUUUAGCGUCUAUUUUAAUGGUUAAUAUGUUUAACUAAAUUACCGCUAAAAGUCAAUAUCUUUAAUGACAAUUGAUUUACAUCAAUUAUAACAGCUGCAAUAUAGCUUGUGAAAAUAUCUUAAUUUGCCCUUUUAUCGUCCAUUUUUAUAGCUGGUAUAUACAACUAAAUUAGCGCUAAAAUUCACAAGCGAUAACAACAAUAGUUUAGCCACCAUUAAUAAAAGUUACUACAUUCGUCUAGAAUAUGACCCAAAAAAUAAAAUAUAUUAAUUAAAAAAAUAUAAUAUAUCUCAUCAAAUCAUAACAAAUAAAAGAAAGUACUAAUAAAAAUAUUAAUGUCAUAGUAACUUAAAACAUAAAGUUAUAUUGUUUGGACUAAAUAGCUAAUAUCAUUAUAUAACUAAUCCAGACGAAUGGUGGUCUUCAAAUGAUCUUCGUAACUUUUCAUCAUUUUGAAAUCUUUCACCCGCUAAAUUAUUGAAUAUCAGACUGUAUGACCUGAAAUUAUAAAAUAACUAUGUCAAAAGAUAAAAUAUAAUGUGAAAAAAUAUCUUGCAAAUUUCAUCACUGUUAGAUUCUUUGUCAUCCAACUCCCUCAUCUAACAUCUAUAAGCAAAAAUAACUAGAUGGACUAAUAGACGAAUAAAAUGCAUGUACAAACAAUUAUGCUUUUGCCAUUUGGAGCUGGGAGAAGGAUGUGCCCGUGUAAGAUAUGGUUGUAAUUUACUUAAGUUGAUCCUUGUGCACUUCUGAAAAUCUAUAUAUGCAGUGCUAUUUGUCCUUCCUCUCAAUGACAUGUUGCUCAACUAUCAACGUGUAUGACACAAGGCAAUAUGUGUUGCAAACUUGGUAAUUGUGAUGGAUAAAGGACAUGUGAAGUGGGUGGAAAAUGUAGCUUAGUUUUCUUGUCCUUCUGAUGUAGCGUUCUCAACAAUUGAUGAACUUAACACUUGUUCUGAAGUUCAGUGGCAGUUUAAAAGAUCAAAUAUUUCUAGUGAGAACCAACAGAAAGUUUCAGAGGGUAAUUUUAUAUGUAGUCCCGGUGAAAAUCAAAAUGCUGAUGAAUCAGAGGCUCAGAAAGAAGGAAAAGUCGAAUGGCGGGUGCUAUAUACAUCAAAGGAGUUGCAGUUACAAAAUAUAAAUGGUGAGCUUUAAAUGUCAUAUUGUGCUGGUCAAGCAUUUAAAGCUAUUCAUUUUGCAAACUGAUGAUUAUAAAUGGGUAAAGGAUCCCUAGUGUUUGUUGUCUAUGGAGAGAUAUUGCUAUA